GCAGUCGAACGAUGAAGCCCUUCGGGGUGGAUUAGUGGCGAACGGGUGAGUAACACGUGGGCAAUCUGCCCUUCACUCUGGGACAAGCCCUGGAAACGGGGUCUAAUACCGGAUAAUACCGGCUUCUGCAUGGGAGCCGGUUGAAAGCUCCGGCGGUGAAGGAUGAGCCCGCGGCCUAUCAGCUUGUUGGUGGGGUAACGGCCCACCAAGGCGACGACGGGUAGCCGGCCUGAGAGGGCGACCGGCCACACUGGGACUGAGACACGGCCCAGACUCCUACGGGAGGCAGCAGUGGGGAAUAUUGCACAAUGGGCGAAAGCCUGAUGCAGCGACGCCGCGUGAGGGAUGACGGCCUUCGGGUUGUAAACCUCUUUCAGCAGGGAAGAAGCGCAAGUGACGGUACCUGCAGAAGAAGCGCCGGCUAACUACGUGCCAGCAGCCGCGGUAAUACGUAGGGCGCAAGCGUUGUCCGGAAUUAUUGGGCGUAAAGAGCUCGUAGGCGGCUUGUCACGUCGGGUGUGAAAGCCCGGGGCUUAACCCCGGGUCUGCAUCCGAUACGGGCAGGCUAGAGUGUGGUAGGGGAGAUCGGAAUUCCUGGUGUAGCGGUGAAAUGCGCAGAUAUCAGGAGGAACACCGGUGGCGAAGGCGGAUCUCUGGGCCAUUACUGACGCUGAGGAGCGAAAGCGUGGGGAGCGAACAGGAUUAGAUACCCUGGUAGUCCACGCCGUAAACGUUGGGAACUAGGUGUUGGCGACAUUCCACGUCGUCGGUGCCGCAGC
rnacentral:rRNA from 1 species